rnacentral:rRNA from 1 species
CCAAUAGCGUAUAUUAAAGUUGUUGCAGUUAAAAAGCUCGUAGUUGAAUUUCGGGGUCAGCAGGUUGGUCGUGCCACUGGUAUGAACUGGUUUCGCUGAUUCCUCCUUUCUGAAGAACUGUAAUGUCAUUAAUUUGGUGUUGCAGGGAAACAGGACUGUUACUUUGAAAAAAUUAGAGUGUUUAAAGCAGGCUAACGCUUGAAUACAUUAGCAUGGAAUAAUGAAAUAGGACGUUCAAACCUAUUUUGUUGGUUUCUAGGAUUGACGUAAUGAUUAAUAGGGAUAGUUGGGGGCAUUAGUAUUCAAUUGUCAGAGGUGAAAUUCUUGGAUUUAUUGAGGACUAACUCCUGCGAAAGCAUUUGCCAAGGAUGUUUUCAUUAAUCAAGAACGAAAGUUAGGGGAUCGAAGACGAUCAGAUACCGUCGUAGUCUUAACCAUAAACUACGCCGACUAGGGAUCGGAUGAUGUUAAUUUUUUAAUGACUCAUUCGGCGCCUUACG